rnacentral:lncRNA from 1 species
GAAUUUUUCAAGAGACAAAUUUCAGCCUGAUAUAGGAAGAAUCUGCAAGUUAAUUAGAGCCACUCAGAAGACAAUGAGAGGUCACUCCUUUCCAGAUGAGGAAACUGAAGCAGAUAAUGAGCACAGCUGGUCUGAGAGGACUGGGAUCAGGGAGUCGCAGCCACAGACACUGAGAAGACUCCAGACUCCAGACUCCAGACUCCAGACUCCAUCUUUGACCAGCCUCAUGGUGACCUUCCUGCCUUCAUCACUUCUCCACCUAAAGACCAAGGCCAGUCCAGAUAUCCUCCAGAAAGCUAGCACAGACACUACAAAAUUCAGUAGGAAAAAAUCCAGUCAUGAUGUUUCCCUUACCUUCUUUUGACUUCAUGAGUCUACCAGUGGACCUUGGGGCUAUCCAUCAAUUUUCCUCUCUCUUACCAUAUAAGUAACCAACAAUUUUAGAUCAUUCAUUUCUUUAAUCACCUCCUUUACUUCAAGGCUCCUUCAUAAUACCUUGUUUGUGAUGUGCUUCUGCUUGCUGAAACCCAAUGAUGUGACCCUCCAUGGCUCUUUAGAUGAUCAUC